UACGUAGGGGGCAAGCGUUAUCCGGAUUUACUGGGUGUAAAGGGAGCGCAGGCGGCGCGUUAAGCCUGGUGUGAAAGCCCGCGGCCCAACCGCGGGACUGCAUUGGGAACUGGCGCGCUGGAGUGCCGGAGGGGUAGGCGGAAUUCGUGGUGUAGCGGUGAAAUGCUUAGAUAUCACGAAGAACUCCGAUUGCGAAGGCAGCUCACUGGACUGCAACUGACACUGAGGCUCGAAAGUGUGGGUAUCAAACAGG
rnacentral:rRNA from 1 species